UACGUAGGGGGCUAGCGUUGUCCGGAAUCAUUGGGCGUAAAGAGCGUGUAGGCGGCCCGGUAAGUCCGAUGGGAAAGUCGGGGGCUCAACCCUCGAAUGCCGGUGGAUACUGUCGGGCUAGAGUGCGGAAGAGGCGAGUGGAAUUCCUGGUGUAGCGGUGAAAUGCGCAGAUAUCAGGAAGAACACCAAUGGCGAAAGCAGCUCUCUGGGGCGGUACUGACGCUGAGACGCGAAAGCGUGGGGAGCGAACAGG
rnacentral:rRNA from 1 species